rnacentral:rRNA from 1 species
CCAAUAGCGUAUAUUAAAGUUGUUGCCGUUAAAAAGCUCGUAGUUGAAUUUCGGGGUCAGUAGGUUGGUCAUGCCCCUGGUAUGUACUGGCCUCACUGAUUCCUCCUUCCUGAUGAGCCGUAAUGCCAUUAAUUUGGUGUUGCGAGGAAUCUGGACUGUUACUUUGAAAAAAUUAGAGUGUUUAAAGCAGGCUAACGCUUGAAUACAUUAGCAUGGAAUAAUGAAAUAGGACGUUCGAUCUUAUUUUGUUGGUUUCUAAGAUUGACGUAAUGAUUAAUAGGGAUAGUUGGGGGCAUUAGUAUUAAAUUGUCAGAGGUGAAAUUCUUGGAUUUAUUGAAGACUAACUACUGCGAAAGCAUUUGCCAAGGAUGUUUUCAUUAAUCAAGAACGAAAGUUAGGGGAUCGAAGACGAUCAGAUACCGUCGUAGUCUUAACCAUAAACUAUGCCGACUAGGGAUCGGAUGAUGUUAAUUUUUUAAUGACUCAUUCGGCGCCUUACG